rnacentral:rRNA from 1 species
GACGAACGCUGGCGGUGUGCUUAACACAUGCAAGUCGAACGGUAAGGCCCUUUCGGGGGUACACGAGUGGCGAACGGGUGUGUAACACGUGUGUAACCUGCCCUCAUCUCUGGGAUAACAGUCGGAAACGGUUGCUAAUACUGGAUAUGAGCCUGCAAGGCAUCUUGUGGGUUGGAAAGAUUUUUUGGUUGGGGAUGGACUCGCGGCCUAUCAGCUUGUUGGUGAGGUAGUGGCUCACCAAGGCUUCGACGGGUAGCCGGCCUGAGAGGGCGACCGGCCACAUUGGGACUGAGAUACGGCCCAAACUCCUACGGGAGGCAGCAGUGGGGAAUAUUGCACAAUGGACGGAAGUCUGAUGCAGCAACGCCGCGUGCGGGAUGACGGCCUUCGGGUUGUAAACCGCUUUCAAUUGUGACGAAGCUUUUUGUGACGGUAGCAGUAGAAGAAGCACCGGCUAACUACGU